GCUCUAUGGUCGACGAGUGUAUUACGUCGAUGGGUCGUUUAUUUGUUACUGAGUGAAUGGUUUUAUUAUAUUCUAUAGUCGCGAGAAGUAUUAGUUCAACCGUGUCUUUAAUUCCUCUUUCGAUUUUUAAGCACCGUGCAAUUUCUGCCAGUGUACUGUGGAAUCUUUCCACUUGUCCGUUUGACGUACUAUGAUGUGGCGGUGCAUUAACAAUUUGUAUGUCAAACUGGUUACUUAGAAGGGUCUUAAUUGUUUCGGAUUUAAUAGAAGGCUCAUUGUCGCAAUAUAUGGUUUUUGUUCGUCGAUAGAAAUUAAUAAGCUGUAAAAUCGCGGUUUGUACGUCUGCAAUGGUUCUGGAAGCGAUUGGUUGAACAAUUGAAAAUUUUGAUAAUUUGUCUACACAAGUCAAGUACGACGUCGGUUUUUUUUAACAAGUCCAGUCCAAUUAUUCCGUCAAACGUUGUUAAGUUCGUGUUGUACCCAUGGA